rnacentral:rRNA from 1 species
CGACCUCAGAGUAGGUG